UGGUAGGGACUCGACAAACAUACCGUCUUGGCUGUAAAGUUCGUCUUGAUGCUUUCAAUUGUUGCUGUGCCACUUCCUCAACAAGCUAGGAAAGAGUUUGGCAAGCAUCUUCUGUAUUAUCGAGUCCGUCUGUUCAAGCUAGAAAAAGCACAAGCAGAAGAAGGUAAGCGAAGAAGUUCUUGAGAUCUAAAACCCUUGACGAAAUACCUGCAAGACAAGUUUGCAGCUAUGGCGACGGCGGUGUCGUGGGCAAUGAGCGUCCUGACGUCAGUUAGAAUUGAGGGCCUGCCGAAACCUAUUUUUUCGAGGGAUAAUGAGGGGUUUCGUAGCACUAGUAUGCAAUGCUUCGCUUUGAGAAGUUGGAAUCGUCAUGCUUGUCAAGAGGUCCAAAUCUCUGGGUUGAAGCUUGGGGUUGUGAGCGGGGGCAGAAUUAGGGUCAGGGAUAAGUUUUGUGUGGGGAUGGCUUUGAGUGGUGAAGGAGUUGGUGGGGUGGAGAAUCUUGGGACGGACGCUGCAGUUUGGUUAAGGGAGAAUCUGCCUUUGCAUCUGGAAAAAGACGGCGUUGAUGUUGAUUUAAGUAAGAGAAUUGCAGAGGCAUGCGCGGACGCCUGUGUGAGAAUUUUGGCUACGGGUCGGUCUUUUGAUCCAAUGAUGAUAAUGGAUGCGAUGGAGGAGGAAGUUGAGCGACGUGAUUUGCGUGGUGACGAUAUUCUCCCAUUUGAGAUUGGCAGGAAGGCAGCAAAAGUGUUGACCCAGAGAUGGAACGAGUUGCCGUUGGGGGAAAGACCAAAGAAUUACCACCACCAGCUGUAUAUUAACAAGAAGGACGUUGUUGAUUUCGACAAAUGGCCGAAGAACCUCAAUCUGCCAUGAGUUCCGUCGCAGUUCAUUGUGGAGCAGACGUUGGUGGCACUACAAGACUAUACAAGUCAGACAAAUCACAUUUGGUAUCCGUGCAGCAGUCUAAGAAUAUUUUCUGGCGGUUGUUUAUUUUGGAGAUUUAUUACGAUCACUCGUCAAUGCUUCUGUGGGUCUACAAGAAGAGCCCACCUGACAUUGCGGUAUCAAUAUCCGUAUUGAAGCCAAAGCAGCAUAAUGAAGAACUAAUCCCUACUAGACUAUUCGAAGCAACAUGUCCAUUCGACAAACCAAUAAGUUUUUUGUGCACUCAGGGUGAAAUUCAUUACGCAGAUAUGGAAUGUUCAUUCUAAGAAUGAACUGAGGCUAUCGACUAGCCUAGAAACAGAUGAUGGCAUGUCUACUUAGGGACAUGAAAUUGGAGAUUCCACUCCAUUUCUACAAUAGCAAAAAUGGUAGGAUUGUAAACAAAUGAUGAUAAUGUGAAUCACUUACCCAGGUACUCCCAGUUGACACUUUCAUGGUGCACUUCCAUAUGGCAUCCAAGAAAUAAAGAAUAAAGAACUCAUAGUGAGGAGGCAACUCCUCCAUGAUGCUUGCCUACGACAUCCACAAA